UUUAAAUUUAGUUAAGACUCGGGUUAGACAGACCAAAGAUGCAGGUUUGAAAAAGUUUUAUCACAGAAAUGGUUAACAUACACAAAAGAUGUUAAAAAAGAAAUAUGUCACUAGGAAACAAAAUUGCAUCAAAACAAUAUCCCCAAAGUAUGUAAAACUCAAGAAUUAAGAUAGCUUUGACAGUUGACCCUAUAUUGAAGUGUUGUAACAUAUGAUUAAUCAAUGACAAUAUUAGCAGAAAACUGCAAAAAGAUUACUCAGAACAGUCAUAUACAAUUGUUAAUCAGCUUCAAUCUGUAUUCUGGUUCGGAGUAUGAGUGAAGUUGAACUGAAACUUCAGGAGGUUAUAACUAUAUUGUCUUUUCUUUUUCUUUCAACCAAUCAACAAAAUUGUCGACAAUCACUGGCCAGGCUUGACUGGAAUCAUAACUUUGAAGGUCAGUAAAGCUUACCUGGCAGCAACAAAAUGUUAACAUCUUUUGUGAGUGCGAUUUCUUUAAACGAAGAAACAUUAACAGCAUCAAUAAACCAUGUUAAUGAAGUGCACAACUUAUGCAAAAUAUACUACACAUUGUAGACAAUUAGACAUGUUUCAUAACAGCAGAGAUCAUAUAUGCAGAUAAGAGUGUGCAUGAGUUAUCUUUGUAGUUUCUCUUAAAUGGACUAAAUCAUUCUACAUUUAUUCGAGCUCAAAUCAUUAAUGCUCAAUCAAGUUUUUUCAAUUUAUC
rnacentral:lncRNA from 1 species